GCACUGCUGACGAGUCGCAACAACAGGACGAAACAACUGUCCAGUGC
rnacentral:hammerhead_ribozyme from 1 species